AACGAACGCUGGCGGCAUGCCUAACACAUGCAGGUCGAACGAGACCUUCGGGUCUAGUGGCGCACGGGUGCGUAACGCGUGGGAACCUGCCCUUAGGUUCGGAAUAACUCCCCGAAAGGGGUGCUAAUACCGGAUAAUGUCUUCGGACCAAAGAUUUAUCGCCUUUGGAUGGGCCCGCGUUGGAUUAGCUAGUUGGUAGGGUAAAAGCCUACCAAGGCGACGAUCCAUAGCUGGUCUGAGAGGAUGAUCAGCCACACUGGGACUGAGACACGGCCCAGACUCCUACGGGAGGCAGCAGUGGGGAAUAUUGGACAAUGGGCGAAAGCCUGAUCCAGCAAUGCCGCGUGAGUGAUGAAGGCCUUAGGGUUGUAAAGCUCUUUUAACCGGGAUGAUAAUGACAGUACCGGGAGAAUAAGCUCCGGCUAACUCCGUG
rnacentral:rRNA from 1 species